rnacentral:rRNA from 1 species
AUUGAACGCUGGCGGAAUGCUUUACACAUGCAAGUCGAACGGCAGCACGGGGGCAACCCUGGUGGCGAGUGGCGAACGGGUGAGUAAUACAUCGGAACGUGCCCAGUCGUGGGGAUAACUACGCGAAAGCGUAGCUAAUACCGCAUACGAUCUACGGAUGAAAGCGGGGGAUCGCAAGACCUCGCGCGAUUGGAGCGGCCGAUGGCAGAUUAGGUAGUUGGUGGGGAAAGGCUCACCAAGCCAACGAUCUGUAGCUGGUCUGAGAGGACGACCAGCCACACUGGGACUGAGACACGGCCCAGACUCC